rnacentral:rRNA from 1 species
GACGAACGCUGGCGGCGUGCUUAACACAUGCAAGUCGAACGGAAAGGCCCUGCUUUUGUGGGGUUCUCGAUUGGCGAACGGGUGAGUAACACGUGAGUAACCUGCCCUUGACUUUGGGAUAACUUCAGGAAACUGGGGCUAAUACCGUAUAGGAUCUCCUGCUGCAUGGUGGGGGUUGGAAAGUUUCGGCUGUUGGGGAUGGACUCGCGGCUUAUCAGCUUGUUGGUGGGGUAGUGGCUUCCCAAGGCUUUGACGGGUAGCCGGCCUGGGAGCGUGAACGGCGACAAGGGGCCUAAGGGAGGCCGCAGUGUGGAAUGGGAGGCAAUGGGGGGGAGUAUGACCCAGCGGGAGGACGUGUGUGACGAAAGCCUUGGGUGCGGAAUGCCGGGUUUCGGGGUGAGAACAGCUGUGGACUGAGACCCAGCGGGAGUGACGGUAAUGGGUAAAGAAGCACCGGCUAACUACGUG